AUGAGAAGGAAAACAAAAGCGCAGCGAAUUCUUGACUACGAAAAUGAAGAGGACGAGGAAGAGGAACAAAAAGCGGACUGCUUCAGCAACGGUGCACAGAAACGAAGAAAAAUGUUUUCCACCAAAGAAAAAGCAGAAGAAGAUAGCUCAACCGACGCCGGGCUUCAGAAGUUAACGUUAGACAUGAAGGUUAAUGAGCUGGAUUGUUCUUCCGCAGACCUCUAUGCUGACAGUCCUCCUGCUUCUGAGUCUGAGGAGGCUCAUUAUUUACAGUCCUAUUCGAAGAAGGAGCUCAUUGCCAUGGUCUUAUGUAUGCAGAGGGAAAUGGAGGACUUGAAGGAACAACUUAGGUGCCUUACAGCAUGUGGAAAGCUAGCAAGAAACCUGGAAAUGCUAAUCGAGAAGACCCAGAUGUUGUCAAAUGGGAACAACAGUACCUCUCUCGGGACCCCAGUUUCUCAAGGCACAGCACAGGCACCUGCCGAGGCGGAUGCUGUGAUACCAGAUGUACGUUCUCCUCCAGCCAUUAUGAAUGGGCAAUGGCUGAAUCAGGGUCCAGGACCGCAGAAACCUCAUGAGGCCACUCAGAACGCUCUGAGGGAUGGGCUCUUCACAGAGUUUAUCACUCCUGAACUUUUGGAGAGUUGUAACACCGGCACCACUGCCCAAAAACUGACCAACGACCUUCUCCGUGGACUCUACGAGAGGGAAUGCCUGGCUUCCCACUCCAUAUCUGGAGUCGUGUACAACAAAAGAGGCCAGCCAAAGCCUGCUCUGCCCACCGAAGAGGUCCAGGCAAUCCUGAGAACUGUUCAGUAUUUCUUUCCUGGCAAGACUGACGUAGAGAUCAAGGGCUACAUCCGACAGAAACUGCAAAACGAAGCCAAGAGGCUGAGGAAGAAACCGUCACUCUCAGGCCAAUACGAGUCUAAAGGGCUUAAUCUACCGUUAGAUAUGAUUGACCAAAAUUGACACAUAUGGUCGGUUAGUGGAUA
ensembl:lncRNA